rnacentral:tRNA from 1 species
CGGAGCGUGGCGCAGUUUGGCUUAGCGCACCUGAAUGGGGUUCAGGGGGUCAGCGGUUCGAAUCCGCUCGCUCCGA